rnacentral:rRNA from 1 species
UACGUAGGGUGCGAGCGUUGUCCGGAAUUAUUGGGCGUAAAGAGCUCGUAGGCGGUUUGUCACGUCUGCUGUGAAAACCUAAGGCUCAACCUUGGGCUUGCAGUGGGUACGGGCAGACUAGAGUGCGGUAGGGGUGACUGGAAUUCCUGGUGUAGCGGUGGAAUGCGCAGAUAUCAGGAGGAACACCGAUGGCGAAGGCAGGUCACUGGGCCGCAACUGACGCUGAGGCACGAAAGCGUGGGGAGCAAACAGG